rnacentral:rRNA from 1 species
AUCUAUGGCCAUGCCAUCCUGAACAAGCCCGAUCCUGACUGAUCUCAGAAGCUAAGCAGGAUCAGGCUUGGUUAGUAUUUGGAUGGGAGAUCACCUAGGAAGACCAGGUGCUAUAGGCG